rnacentral:rRNA from 1 species
AAAAACAUCGCCUCUUGCAAAAUUAAUGAAUAAGAGGUCCUGCCUGCCCUGUGACCAUGAGUUUAACGGCCGCGGUAUUUUGACCGUGCAAAGGUAGCGCAAUCACUUGUCUUUUAAAUAAAGACCCGUAUGAAUGGCAAGACGAGGGCUUAGCUGUCUCCUUUUUCAGGUCAAUGAAAUUGAUCUUUCCGUGCAGAAGCGGGAAUAUUAACAUAAGACGAGAAGACCCUAUGGAGCUUUAGACACCAAGACAGAUCACGUCAAAACCCCCUAACAAAGGAUUAAACUAACUGAACCCUGUCCUAAUGUCUUUGGUUGGGGCGACCACGGGGAACCACAAAACCCCCGCGUGGAAUGAAAGCACCACCCUGCUUUUACAACUAAGAGCCUCCGCUCUAAUAAACAGAAUUUCUGACCAACAAGAUCCGGCAACGCCGAUCAACGAACCGAGUUACCCUAGGGAUAACAGCGCAAUCCUCUUUUAGAGUCCAUAUCGACAAGAGGGUUUACGACCUCGAUGUUGGAUCAGGACAUCCUAAUGGUGCAGCCGCUAUUAAGGGUUCGUUUGUUCAACGAUUAAAGUCCUACGUGAUCUGA